rnacentral:rRNA from 1 species
AUUGAACGCUGGCGGCAGGCCUAACACAUGCAAGUCGAGCGGAUGAAGGGAGCUUGCUCCUGGAUUCAGCGGCGGACGGGUGAGUAAUGCCUAGGAAUCUGCCUGGUAGUGGGGGAUAACGUCCGGAAACGGGCGCUAAUACCGCAUACGUCCUGAGGGAGAAAGUGGGGGAUCUUCGGACCUCAUGCUAUCAGAUGAGCCUAGGUCGGAUUAGCUAGUUGGUGGGGUAAAGGCCUACCAAGGCGACGAUCCGUAACUGGUCUGAGAGGAUGAUCAGUCACACUGGAACUGAGACACGGUCCAGACUCCUACGGGAGGCAGCAGUGGGGAAUAUUGGACAAUGGGCGAAAGCCUGAUCCAGCCAUGCCGCGUGUGUGAAGAAGGUCUUCGGAUUGUAAAGCACUUUAAGUUGGGAGGAAGGGCAGUAAGUUAAUACCUUGCUGUUCUGACGUUACCAACAGAAUAAGCACCGGCUAACUUCGUG